rnacentral:rRNA from 1 species
UACGUAGGGUGCGAGCGUUAAUCGGAAUUACUGGGCGUAAAGCGUGCGCAGGCGGUUUUGUAAGCCAGAGGUGAAAGCCCCGGGCUCAACCUGGGAAUGGCAUUUGGGACUGCAAGGCUUGAGUGCGGCAGAGGAGACUGGAAUUCCUGGUGUAGCAGUGAAAUGCGUAGAUAUCAGGAGGAAUACCGAUGGCGAAGGCAGGUCUCUGGGCUGACACUGACGCUCAUGCACGAAAGCGUGGGGAGCAAACAGG